UCAAGGCUGCUCUGUGGCUGUUAGUCAUUAAUCACCAUCUGACAGUCCUGAAUUGGAAACGAGGAGCCUGUUCACAUGUGCUCUGUGUACCUAGUUACCCUCUUGGUAAUCAGUCUCGGAAAAGUUUUCUUUGACUCCCUGCCUGAGAGGGCCUCUGUCCUGGCCAGGGGGCAGAGGGUCAUUAAACUUUGCUCCCCUCUUCUUCUCCCCCUCACUGGGAAAAGAAGUCGAGGUCCUAAAAAAACAGGAGAGAGGGAGCAUAUUGUUUUUGGCCUACUCUUUCCCUCCUAGGCCUGUUUUAUGUAGCCUUGUUUUUAUAUUCUGGCCCGAUGGCAGGAAAAUUCUUUUUCUCCCUGAAGAAAUCCUGAAAGACAGGGAGGGGGCUUGCUUCUGUUCCAAAUCCCAAAUGCUGGGAUGUGUUUAUGUGUGCCUUCCCAAGCUGCUCAGGUGUGGACCUGUGUCUUUCAGAAGGGACCCUGAACUGGUUCCAGAAAUAUCCAGAGAGCACCUGUUACAUGCCAGGCACAGACUGGACACUGUGGUUACAGCAGGGAGCACACUGCCAUCACGGGGCUGUUUUUAGUGGAGUAGGUGGCUGCUAUAGUCAAGGGUCCUCAGAACGAGCACCGGUUUCCUUAGGACCAUCCAGCCUCAUCCAGACAUAGAGCGACAGACUAGAGAAAGGAGUCUUUCUGGAACAACAGACAUUUUGGGGCCCAUUUUUUCUCCUAGGCAACAUGACCUAAAAUCUUCUGGGGAAAACAGAAACAUGGUAGAGCCUGGAGCAGGGCUGGUGUGAGGCAUCAGCAAAGGAGAAAAGUCAGCGUUGAGGGUGGAUGGGAGCACUCCCUGGACACCUUCC